UACGGAGGGGGCUAGCGUUGUUCGGAAUUACUGGGCGUAAAACGCGCGUAGGCGGACCUGCAAGUCGGGGGUGAAAGCCCGAGGCUCAACCUCGGAACUGCCCUCGAUACUGCGGGUCUCGAGUCCGGGAGAGGUGAGUGGAAUUCCUAGUGUAGAGGUGAAAUUCGUAGAUAUUAGGAAGAACACCAGUGGCGAAGGCGGCUCACUGGCCCGGUACUGACGCUGAGGCGCGAAAGCGUGGGGAGCAAACAGG
rnacentral:rRNA from 1 species